rnacentral:rRNA from 1 species
GACGAACGCUGGCGGCGUGCUUAACACAUGCAAGUCGAGCGGAAGGGCCCUGCUCUUGUGGGUUGCUCGUGUGGCGAACGGGUGAGUAACACGUGAGUAACCCGCCCUUGACAGUCGGGUAUCUUCAGGGAACUGGGGCGAAUACCGGAUAGGAUCUUCUGCUGCGCGGGGGGGAUAGGAAAGAUACGGCGGUUGUGGAUGGAUUCGCGGGUUAUCGGCUGGUUUGUGAGGUAGGUGCUUUCCAAGCCUAUGACGGGUAGCCGGCCUUGGAGGGUGGCCGGGCACCUUGGGCCUGCGGUACGCCCCAGACUCCUACGGGCGGCAGCAGUGGAGAACAUUGCGGAAUGGCCGGACGCCUGAUGCAGCGGCGCUGCGUGCGGGAUGCCGGCUUUCGGGUUGUGAACCGCUUUCGCCUGUGCCGAAGCGUGCGUGACGGUAAUGGGUAAAGAAGCCCCGGCUAACUACGUG